CACACAAAUGCCCUUGGCUGCACACCAAAGAUCGGACCUCAGCAUGAUAGCUCUGACCUAUUUCUCCGUUAUGGCACACAAUGUCCACUGUCUGAAGAGCCUGGCAGCUGGAAAACACGAGGAGGACAGAGAAAUGAAGUUGAGAGAAGCCUUUCCAAAUUCUUCAAUCAGGUCCAAACAAGCUUUGAACACAGGCUGCUCUGCUAUUGAUUAGGAGUGCCCAAAGAGCUGAGAUCUGUCAGGCCCACAGAUGGAUUUAGCUCUCAGUGAAGAUAAAAGGCAUAAACUGAGUGGUGAUCGACUCCCAGCUCUCGUGGCUACACCGCCGAGGAGAGGGACAGGAUAACUCUCAGUUCUGGCUCAUUACAGACUUGAUGGUAUCUCCCUUUGUUUUUCUGAGGAGGUGAGGCUGCGAUGCUCUCCAAUGUGUGUGACACAACCUCGAACAUGGGCAGAGCCAGGCAGGGAAGGGAUUCAUCAGGGCAAUGGAUGAACAAAAAAAAAACCCUGUGGGGAGCAGUUCAGUCCCCAAAAGCUGUUUCAGGCCUCCCACAACAUUUUCUUUUGGGAUUAAACUCAACCUCCUUUACUAUCCUCCUUGUCUUUUUCUUCCUGUUGUCCCGCGUAGAUUGAUUUCCAAAUGAAAAUAAAUGAUGGCUCUGGAAAUAAAAAGCCUCCUCUUUUCAUUGCCCUCCAGACUGCAUGUGGCAACUGCUGGCUCGCCAAAGCCUUGCUCUAAAUCCAGCGUCUGGACAUGCACGUGCG